GCGGGGGUAGCCAAGUGGUCAAAGGCGCAGCGUUGAGGGCGCUGUCCUGUAGAGGUUCCGGGGUUCGAAUCCUCGCUCCCGCA
rnacentral:tRNA from 1 species